CAGGAGUCGCACUCGGGUCUCAGGAGGAUGAAGGGAUUGGAAAAGGACUUUUCUCUUUGAGAAGAUAAGGGAAUGUUUUUAUAACACUGAAUGAAAUCUCACUGUCGUUCUGUUCCUCUGUCCGGCUACUGGAGGGUCCCGUCACAGAACUGCAGUGUGGUUCUGCAGGACGAGUCGGGGUUUGUGGUGACACGUUUCCCCUCACAGAUGCUAAAUGUUUGCUACAUUGAUGACAGCUGGAGAUAAUAUUUAAUGCUUACCCGUCCGGACCCCACAGCGGCCAAGCAUCUGAUUGGACACGUCCUGUCAUCGCUGAGACAGCGAGUUCAGAUGACAGAAGAAUGCUGGACUUCCUCAAAACACUGUGACUGAACUUAUUCCAGGUGCUCAGACAGACCUGGUCGUCAUGGGAACUAAACUGUGACGCCAUGAUUAAAGCUGAAGGAUAAUCGGUCCAUAUUAAAACCUGCUGAUGAUUAAACAGAAUUGAAUCGGAUCCAGAUGGAUCAGACUGCUCAUUUGCUGAUUUCUGUCAUUGGUUCUUUGAUGAUAUCAUGACUGUUAUAAUUGUAAAAAAAAAGUUGUUGCACUUUUGAAAAAUCAA